rnacentral:rRNA from 1 species
AGAGUUUGAUCCUGGCUCAGAUUGAACGCUGGCGGAAUGCUUUACACAUGCAAGUCGAGCGGCAGCGCGGGGCAACCUGGCGGCGAGCGGCGAACGGGUGAGUAAUGCAUCGGAACGUACCCAUUUGUGGGGGAUAACUAUCCGAAAGGAUAGCUAAUACCGCAUAAGUCCUGAGGGAGAAAGCGGGGGAUCGCAAGACCUCGCGCGAAUGGGGCGGCCGAUGCCGGAUUAGCUAGUUGGUAGGGUAAAGGCCUACCAAGGCGACGAUCCGUAGCUGGUCUGAGAGGAUGAUCAGCCACACUGGGACUGAGACACGGCCCAGACUCCUACGGGAGGCAGCAGUGGGGAAUUUUGGACAAUGGGCGAAAGCCUGAUCCAGCCAUUCCGCGUGAGUGAAGAAGGCCUUCGGGUUGUAAAGCUCUUUCGGCAGGAACGAAACGGUUUGGGCUAAUACCCUGAGCUAAUGACGGUACCUGAAGAAGAAGCACCGGCUAACUACGUGCCAGCAGCCGCGGUAAUACGUAGGGUGCGAGCGUUAAUCGGAAUUACUGGGCGUAAAGCGUGCGCAGGCGGUUAUGUAAGACAGAUGUGAAAUCCCCGGGCUUAACCUGGGAACUGCGUUUGUGACUGCAUAACUCGAGUGUGGCAGAGGGGGGUGGAAUUCCACGUGUAGCAGUGAAAUGCGUAGAGAUGUGGAGGAACACCGAUGGCGAAGGCAGCCCCCUGGGUCAACACUGACGCUCAUGCACGAAAGCGUGGGUAGCAAACAGGAUUAGAUACCCUGGUAGUCCACGCCCUAAACGAUGCCAACUAGGUGUUGGGGAAGGAGACUUCCUUAGUACCGUAGCUAACGCGUGAAGUUGGCCGCCUGGGGAGUACGGUCGCAAGAUUAAAACUCAAAGGAAUUGACGGGGACCCGCACAAGCGGUGGAUGAUGUGGAUUAAUUCGAUGCAACGCGAAAAACCUUACCUACCCUUGACAUGCCAGGAACUUGGUAGAGAUACCUUGGUGCCCGAAAGGGAGCCUGGACACAGGUGCUGCAUGGCUGUCGUCAGCCCGUGUCGUGAGAUGUUGGGUUAAGUCCCGCAACGAGCGCAACCCUUGUCAUUAGUUGCCAUCAUUUAGUUGGGCACUCUAAUGAGACUGCCGGUGACAAACCGGAGGAAGGUGGGGAUGACGUCAAGUCCUCAUGGCCCUUAUGGGUAGGGCUUCACACGUCAUACAAUGGUCGGUACAGAGGGUUGCCAAGCCGAGAGGUGGAGCCAAUCCCAGAAAGCCGAUCGUAGUCCGGAUCGGAGUCUGCAACUCGACUCCGUGAAGUCGGAAUCGCUAGUAAUCGUGGAUCAGCAUGCCACGGUGAAUACGUUCCCGGGUC